AAGCCGAGGGGGCCGGGGUGGGGCCAAUGUAGGCCAGGGCCGCGCGGGCGGGGCCGGGGCGAUGGGGAAUCUGUUCGGGCGCAAGCGGCGGAGCCGGGUCACCGAGCAAGAUAAGGCCGUGCUGCAACUGAAACAGCAACGGGACAAACUAAAGCAAUAUCA